rnacentral:rRNA from 1 species
UGGUGAUUAUAGAUGAGGGGAAACACACGUUCCCAUCCCGAACACGCCCGUUAAGCCCUCGAUCGCCGAUGGUAGUGCGGCCCAGAUGUCGUGCGAGAGUAGGUUAUUGCCA